rnacentral:lncRNA from 1 species
GAGAUGAUCUGAGCUACAUCUUUCUGCCCAAUCAGAUUUGUUCUGGGACUGAAUAUGGAUGUGCUCUUCCUACCUGAAAAUUUCUAGGCAUAUUUGCAGCCAGUUUCAUCAGUCUCUACAAGUAGGAAAGUCCUUGGUUUCUAUUUGAGCUCCUCCAUGGAGGGUCUACUCAGGGCCUUGGUAGACAUUACCUCUCUGCUGCCAUUUGUCCAGCACCUGGGACGGAAAAGAGUGAUACAGAGAGAUUGCACUUCAGUUGCCACCAACUUAAAGCAUUGAUUUCAGAACUGCCUGGAGCAACACACACCUUCCCAGUGCAGGAGCUAGAGUGGAUGAGUCUGGGGCCAGCAGAGGAAGCUCUUCUGCAGUGACUCAGGGCAGCUGGCAUAUUAAGUACCACUUAACAUUGUUGCUCAUUUCUUUGCAAGUACCAGGUAUGUGGGGUAACAGAAG